rnacentral:rRNA from 1 species
UACGUAGGGUGCAAGCGUUGUCCGGAAUUAUUGGGCGUAAGAGCUCGUAGGCGGUCUGUCGCGUCUGCUGUGAAAACCUAGGGCUUAACCCUGGGCCUGCAGUGGGUACGGGCAGACUAGAGUGCGGUAGGGGAGACUGGAAUUCCUGGUGUAGCGGUGAAAUGCGUAGAUAUCUGGAGGAAUACCGGUGGCGAAGGCGGCAUCCUGGACCGAAACUGACGCUGAGGCGCGAAAGCUAGGGGAGCGAACGGGA